rnacentral:rRNA from 1 species
UACGAAGGGGGCUAGCGUUGCUCGGAAUCACUGGGCGUAAAGCGCACGUAGGCGGACUCUUAAGUCGGUGGUGAAAUCCUGGAGCUCAACUCCAGAACUGCCUCCGAUACUGGCAACCUAGAGACUGGAAGAGGUUAGUGGAAUUCCCAGUGUAGAGGUGAAAUUCGUAGAUAUUGGGAAGAACACCAGUGGCGAAGGCGGCUAACUGGUCCAGCACUGACGCUGAGGUGCGAAAGCGUGGGGAGCAAACAGG